UACAGAGGGUGCAAGCGUUGUUCGGAAUUAUUGGGCGUAAAGCGCGUGUAGGCGGCUUUGCAAGUCGGGUGUGAAAGCCCUCAGCUCAACUGAGGAAGUGCGCCCGAAACUGCAGAGCUUGAGUGCCGGAGAGGAUGGCGGAAUUCCCCAAGUAGAGGUGAAAUUCGUAGAUAUGGGGAGGAACACCGGUGGCGAAGGCGGCCACCUGGACGGCAACUGACGCUGAGACGCGAAAGCGUGGGGAGCAAACAGG
rnacentral:rRNA from 1 species